AUUGAACGCUGGCGGCAUGCCUUACACAUGCAAGUCGAACGGCAGCACGGGGGCAACCCUGGUGGCGAGUGGCGAACGGGUGAGUAAUGCAUCGGAACGUACCCGGAAGUGGGGGAUAACGUAGCGAAAGUUACGCUAAUACCGCAUAUUCUGUGAGCAGGAAAGUGGGGGACCGCAAGGCCUCACGCUUUCGGAGCGGCCGAUGUCGGAUGAGCUAGUUGGCGGGGUAAAGGCCCACCAAGGCGACGAUCCGUAGCGGGUCUGAUAGGAUGAUCCGCCACACUGGGACUGAGACACGGCCCAGACUCCUACGGGAGGCAGCAGUGGGGAAUUUUGGACAAUGGGCGCAAGCCUGAUCCAGCCAUGCCGCGUGAGUGAAGAAGGCCUUCGGGUUGUAAAGCUCUUUCGGCGGGGAAGAAAUUGCACUCGUUAAUACCGGGUGUAGAUGACGGUACCCGCAUAAGAAGCACCGGCUAACUACGUGCCAGCCGCCGCGGUAACAC
rnacentral:rRNA from 1 species